UCACUUCGGUGAGUGGAAAGUGGCGGACGGGUGAGUAAUGUGUAGAGAAUCUGCCCUUGAGUGGGGGACAACAGCUGGAAACGACUGCUAAUACCGCAUAAGCGCACAGCUUCGCAUGAAGCAGUGUGAAAAACUCCGGUGGUACAAGAUGGACCCGCGUCUGAUUAGCUAGUUGGUGAGGUAACGGCUCACCAAGGCGACGAUCAGUAGCCGUACUGAGAGGUAGAACGGCCACAUUGGGACUGAGACACGGCCCAAACUCC
rnacentral:rRNA from 1 species